UACGGGGGGAGCAAGCGUUGUUCGGAUUUACUGAGCGUAAAGGGCGCGUAGGCGGUCAGCACAAGUCAGUUGUGAAAUCUCCGGGCUCAACCUGGGAACUGCAUUUGUGACUGCAUGGCUGGAGUGCGGCAGAGGGGGAUGGAAUUCCGCGUGUAGCAGUGAAAUGCGUAGAUAUGCGGAGGAACACCGAUGGCGAAGGCAGCCUUCUGGGCCAACACUGACGCUCAUGCACGAAAGCGUGGGGAGCAAACAGG
rnacentral:rRNA from 1 species